AUUUCCAUUUCAGAACCAAACGACCCCUUGUGAGCGAAGGAGAGAAACCCUAGCCGCCUCUACCCUCGCUCCUCUCUCUUGCGUCAUGGUUGCCUGAAAUGGCAACAUUUUAGCCGUACUUCGCCUUUUUCAGAGUUAGCAUAGUCUAUUGGGGUAAGAUUUUAAUGCUAACCCCCUCUUUCCACCAAGUUUUCAACCAAACAAGGUAUUGUUUUGAUUUUUCUUUAUCUUUUCUGUAAAUUAACGGUUUUUUUCUUAAUGGUUUUUGUUGUUACUCGAAUUUAAAUCCUCGAUUAUCAUUGGUUCAUGAAGAAACCAAUGGAUUGACCUAGUUUGAGUCAAAUCCGACCCAUUAUUGUUCAUUUGCUCUCAGUAUGAGCCAUUGAUUAUUAUUUGAGGAAGCAAUUCUCAGAAAUUGCAUUUGUCCCACAUUGAAUUGGUCCUAGGGUUUGAGAUUUUUGGGGUUCUAUAUAAAGAGCCAUCAAUCCACAUUUAAUGGACCGAAUAUCACACAUAUUCACAAAAAACUUGAAUUGCCUAGGGUUUUAGCAUAUUGUUGAGAUCUUUAACUAUUCAAGUUAAGUUUAAGUUUUUAAAUCUUUGUUUACUUCUUUGUUUUGUGGCUGAGUGUGGGAUUAAGAAGCAAAAAGGAUCUCUAAGUCUAUUCCUUGAUCAAAGCUGCACAAAGAAAAGACUUCCAUUACUUUGAGGCACAAAGGAAGGGCAAGGCUCAAGUUUGACGGUUCAAGACUGCUGUUCGGCUUUCCAGAUGAAAACUUCAACGGGCAUGGAGGUGUAUCAAUGGAAAAUCACAGUGCAAAUUUGGACUUUUCGCUGAAGCAAAUUUUGCAGUAGCUCAAGUUCAUCUCAAAUCAACAUGUUCGAGAAGUACAACCUAAAAUGUAGUAAGCUAUAAAAAUUUCUCACUAACUUUGUCUGUCGCAAUACCUUUUUUAGUUAAUGUUUCAAAUUUCUAAUACUUUAUUAGAAGUAAGUUGUAAUUGGUAGGGCAAGACGCUGUUAUGAUGGUUGCUUUAUCAUACUUUCUCUUCAACUUCUGAAGUACAAGACAACAUUAGUUGUUUAAGUAAAGAAAUAGCUCAUCAAAUACUUGUUAUUCUCCUUAGAAUUUAAUUUAAAGUCGAC